UACGGGGGGGGCAAGCGUUGUUCGGAAUUACUGGGCGUAAAGGGCUCGUAGGUGGCCAACUAAGUCGGACGUGAAAUCCCUCGGCUUAACUGGGGAACUGCGUGUGAUACUGGAUGGCUUGGAUUUGGGAGAGGGAUGCGGAAUUCCAGGUGUAGCGGUGAAAUGCGUAGAUAUCUGGAGGAACACCGGUGGCGAAGGCGGCAUCCUGGACCAAUAUUGACGCUGAGGAGCGAAAGCCAGGGGAGCAAACGGG
rnacentral:rRNA from 1 species